AUUGAACGAUGGCGGCAGGCCUAACACAUGCAAGUCGCACGAGUGGCGGACGGGUGAGUAAUGUCUGGGAAACUGCCUGAUGGAGGGGGAUAACUACUGGAAACGGUAGCUAAUACCGCAUACCAUCGGAUGUGCACAGAUGGGAUUAGCUAGUUGGUGGGGUAACGGCUUACUUAGGCGACGAUCCCUAGCUGGGCUGAGAGGAUGACCAGCCACACUGUAAGUGAUGCACGGUCCAGACUCCUACGGGAGGCAGCAUGGGGGAAUAUUGCACAAUGGGCGCAAGCCUGAUGCAGUCAUGCCGCGUGUAUGAAGAAGGCCGUCGGGUUGUAAAGUACUUUCAUCGGGGAGGCGUUACCCGCAGAAGAAGCACCGGCUAACGCCGUGCCAGCGGCCGCGGUAAUUC
rnacentral:rRNA from 1 species